ACCGGACCGUGAGGGUCUGUGUGACAUUUCAUUAACACUGUAAAGCUGGGCUAUUCAAUUCCAGUCCUGAAGGGCCGGUAUCCAGCAUGUUUAAGUGGUUUCUCUGCUCCAACACACCUGAUUCAGUGGUCGAAUCGCCUGUGCAGCAGCUCAUCAAGCUCUGCAGAAGCCUGCUGGUUGAAAUCAGGUGUGUGGAAAAAGGUUGAAAACUAAAAUAAGCUGGACAUCGGCCUUCCAGGCUCAGCAUUGCAUACCCCUGCAAUAAAGGGUCACUUUAGGACAUACUGGUUCAAGAAAAUGGUUUAAAAAUAUGAAAAAGUUGCCAAGUCUCCCUUUAAUGGUUAUCUUGGUGAAUUUUGUGAUUGUACUUCAUUGUUUAAAAGGAAAGCUUUUUAAAAUAAUAUCGUCAUCUGCACAAUAAGAGGGGAAAACCGAUGUUAUGAAGCAUGGAUCUAACAGCUUAGUUACAUCUCCUCACUACAUCAGGCCCAAUCCCAAUGUUCACAUUUCUACACUUGCGCCCUUUGACCGUGCCCCUUUUGCACCAUUGAUCUGCACUUCACUUAAGUCUGCAUCGAUGCAGACUUCGGCAGAGGGUAUCACCCACAAUCCGUUGCUGCAAGGGCAAAGGCUGAAGUGCCUUUACUGAAACUGCAUUGUGGUCGAUGUCACAAUGCUCCCUGUCCCAGUUUGGCUAUUCUUUGCACACUUGUGUACUAUGGACUCGAAGCCUGACUGCACACUUCCUCCAAGUGCACUUCACAGAAGACCUUAUGACACAGUGUGAGUAUUGGGAUUGGGCCUCACAGUUUAAAACAGAGAAGGAGGAUUUAGCCUAUUUUAAGUGGCCAAGACUGUAACAGACAAAGACAAUGCUGUUGGACUUCAUCGCUAAAGUAAAAAGUGAAUGUAAAGUAAUUUUUUCUCCUGUUUCUUUAAAUAAUGGACAAUACUCCAUUCAAAACCAGCUUCCACAGACAAUAACUUGCAAUUUACCUCCCACUAAGUUAAAAAAAAAAUUCAGUUUGUUGCUCAGCAUGAUUGUUGGAGCUUUUAUACAUUUUUAAUAAUUUAGUUUUUUUUCCUCCACUUGCUUCCCUAGUCUGUGUUCUUAGACAUGCAUGGUUAUUAUCCAUCCUUUUCAUUCGAUAAAGAUAAAAAUAACAUCUAAAUGAAACAAGUAUAAGAUUAACCUUUGAGAGACCAAACUAAAAUCCAAUGGCCCCUGCAUCAAAUACACACAGUAAAGAUGUCUUGUUGAAGUAAAACAUUUCCAUUCAGUUCAGUUUAUUUAUAUCGGGCCAAAUCAAAAAAGUCGUCUCAAGUCACUCUGCAAAGUAAACAUUCUAAUAGAACCUACUUAUCAGAGCACUGAGUUCAGUUCAUUAUUCUAAUUAUUUCAUAGUUUUCCCAGCAGAUUGCGUCAAGUCAGUGACUUGUUGUGUCAGAGACUUGAAUGCAAUCCUCAUACUAAGCAAGCAUGUAGAGACAGUGGAGAGGAAAUCUCCCUUUUAACAGAAGAAACCUCCAACAGAACCUGGAUCAGUGUGAGCAGCCAUCCACUGUGACUCACUGGGGGUUUGAAAAGCUGUAGCAGAAACACACCCGCACACAUUUGUACCAACUAGUGCUUCUAGAGCUGUAUGCAUUGCAAUUUCUGAACAAAUUAAACUAUCGUCUUUAUCUGAGUGAAUUAGUAAUAAAUUCAACAGAUGAACUAGUAGUAGCAUUUUCCAUGUUAGAGAAAGUAAAAAGAGAGAGAGAAUAUUUAGUGGUUUGCAGCCGAUGGCCCCUUCCAUGAGGCUAUGACAGCUCAGCAGAACACCGUUGUAGCUUCUUCUGGGGAGAAAAACACUUAAAGAAAACAUCGUUAACAGUUGAAAUAACAGGAAAUAUUUCAGGUGUAGAGUAGUGGUAGAAGAAAGUAGCAAAGUGUGGAAAGUGGCCAGUAUGUCCUUCAGGAGUCUAAACCUAACAAUAGAGAUAACUCGGGAUAAUUUGUACAUCACAAUAGUGAUGAAAGUUUAGUUAUGUGGGACUGGAUGUUUGUGCCAGAUGGGCUGGUCUGGGUAUUUCAGAAACUAGGAUUGUCACCCUCAACUUUCUCUUUGGUUUCUGAAAAAUAGAAAAUAUCCAGUGAGCAGCUGUAGUACAGACAAAAAAUGCCUUGUUAAAUGGUAAAUGACCUGUAUUUGUAUAACGCCUUCUUAGGGUUCUACACCCCCCAUGAAAGCCUUUAAACAUAAAAAAAUAUAUUAAUUUAAAUUCCAUUAGUAAUAAUUCAGUGGAGAGGAGUCUGGGUUAAAAACUGACAGGCGUUUCUGACAUUAGUCUUUAUUAGCGGACUUACUGAGGAAUAAAGCAGCACAGCAGACAUCGAGAGGAAUGAUGUGAGUGGUGGAGUGAAGGACGACUAAUUAAAUUUCACAAACCGAUGGCAAAUGUGAAUGGACUGAUGAAAUCCUGUUGUAAUUCUAUUGCAUUCCAGUACCACAGAGAAACAAUCACCAGUGAGCAUGGACUGGGUUUGUGAAAUACACAAGAAAGAAGUUACAUCCGUCUCCAAACCAAUUACAGAUGCUGAGACUGAUACCAGAACUGAUGGAAGUAAACAACUAGCCCACUGAUAGAUAUGUGUUUGGAUGCAUUAAGUGUUUAAAUUUAAGUAUAGUGACAAUAAAACGUCAAAAAGAUCAAAACAGUCAUAAUAAAGAACCAUUUAGAAAUGAGAUGCAUUUUAGUUACAGUGUAAAUUGACGAUAUUCUGAUCAGACUGGAAAAAAAUCAGACUGAUCUGCAUACAUAUUUUAGUGAAUUAUCACAAUAUGAUUAGCUAAACAUAACCAAUGAAGAAAUCCUAUUAACCUAAUGAAGGUUUUUUCUUUUUUUGCAACAAAGUAAAAUCAGGUCACUCAAUAAGUGCAUAAAAGACGAUAAUUAUCACAAGUGAAACUAAUAGUUUUUGCCGUUUCCUUUAGAAACCAUUAAUACCAUUGAGUUGUCUCUGAUCCUUCUGGAUUUUGUUCCUGAACCUGAUGAUGGCAAAUGCAAAGUGAAACGCUGAAUAAUGACUUCUGAGGCAGAAGAUUGGUAGGCACCAGGGUGCAAUGGAAUACUUUUACAUGUCAGAGUUGAGUGCAGGAAAGCAGGCGACAAUAUUUACAUCCAAUCACUAAUGUUAUCUGGAAGAGGGUGCUUUAUAAACCCCUCACCAAGGUUCUAACAAACCCAUGACUUGUGUGUAUUGUUGCAUCUGCUUUUACCCACCUUCCCUGGCUGUACAUUGUCCCUGUAUCCCUUUCUGUGGCUAAGUGGUACCCAGGUAUUUCCCAAAGUCCGAAAACAUGCAUGCUACAUUAUUUGGGGAUGCUAGUGUGACCUCAGAUGUCAGUUUGCACAUGAACAGGUAUCUGUAUUUACAUAACCCUGUGAUGGACUAGUGUCCUGUUCAGGGGAAAUGCUUUCUUUUCUGAAUUUCCUAACUUUUAAAUUCAACAUUACAAACAAUGUGGAGAUGAUCUGUCUUCUAUUAAAUGCCUUCAUCUCUUACCUUGAUUUAAAGCCUCCAGCUGCAGGGAACAACUCCAACUUUACUAUAAAAGCCUGGAAGAAUGGGAGAGAACGCCUGCAAGGUGAGCCGCACGGCUGAGGAAGCACAGCAGACAGUUAAAAUUGCUGCCACUUUCGCAAGUCAAAGUGCUUGUAACCCAUGUAGAGAGCACAGUCAGAAUCACAGGAAGGGAAGACAGAGAAAGGGGCUUUCUCGGUUCCAGGGCCGGCUUUGCAGACAGGCGACACAGGCGGCCGCCUGGGGCACCAUCUGAUGGAUAGGGCGCAAAAUAAAAAAAAAUAAAAAAAAAAGUUGAUUAAAUGUAUGUUUGUAAUAUGAAAUGCACUCUCUACAUACUCAAAAUUUCACUCUGCUCUGAAAUUACAUGAAAUUAAAACAUCAAUAUUUAAAUUCUAAUGAUCUGGCUGCAUGACGAGCUCCUGCUUGGGCCACCGCUCCGAAGCAUUUGACCGUUAAGGGUGCCGUAGAUCAAGUGCAUGGUUGGCGCUGUAGAAGGACAUCGUGUUGUCAAUGUCAUCGCGUUUAAACGUUUGAUAUUUUACGAUGAAAAGAACACCUAAGCCAUCAGGAUCAGCAUUCCGAAAGCGACGGAAGGAGGAAGAAAAAAAAACGGGCCCAAAGCAGAGGUAUGUAGACUUUAUAAAUUUGGCAAAGGAACUUUUUGCUUUAGCAUUGUAGCUAACUGCCUCUCCUGCCACACACGGUCCACGGACGGACCCUCGCUAGCUGUUUACAUACACAACACAGUAUCUCAUAACUUUAACCAAUUCAUUUUACUUUUGAAUCGUCAUGUCCAGAUGCAGUGAGACAAUAUCUGCAGCCACGACAGGCACCUGUGGACACCACGGGGGCGGGACUGUCUUCUACACCUGUUGAGCCUCACUGUGAUGAUGAAGAAUCGUCUACAUCCAGGCAUCACGCAGCAGCAGAAGCACAUUUACUGGGCUACAGUCUCAGCAUCUAGAACCAGGUGAGUGAGUUACUUGUUAGGCUAUUUGUAAUCAGCAGUAGAAACUGACUUUUUCAAAUUAAACGGCUUAUCACAUGUAUCGAUAUGCAAAAUUAAUUUAUUUAAAUCCACACCAGACACGUGUUUUUGGCACAAUCAGUGCAGCAUUGAUUUAGCAUUGAGAAUAUUAAAUAAUCUGAACAUACAUAUCUGAAAUUGUCUCCUUACUUAAGGAUGUCAUUGUCAAUUAGGCUGUAAAUUUGUAAAAAAGGAUGGACAUUAGUUUUCGUGACAUUAGUUGGCGUUUCCUUGUUUAAUAAAUGAAAUCCUGCAGAGUGCCUCGGAUCACCGGUUCUUCUUCCUCAUAUUCUACAAUUUAUUUGAUGCUGAAGAGCACCUGAGAGUGAGACAUAAUUUAUUUCAUAUAUUCCCCAUGGAUGCACUCACUUUCACCUGUUUUUGGUAAUUGCAUUCAU